CCCGCGCGUGCGUCCACGUGCCUGCAUCGCGGGCAUCUGCGCGAUCGCCCGCGCGCCUGUAGACCUCGCGUCCUUCCGGUCCCGUCCCUCCUGCACGCUCCCUUCCCUCCUCCGCUGCCCCACCCGCGGGUCUCUUGCCCGCAGGUGGCCGGGUCCCCGCACCCGUCGCAGACUCCCGCCCGGCCCCUCCGCCGCCCGCCGGGCGCCUUCCGUCUGCUCCCGUGCCGCUGAGUCGCCUCGCGCAUCUGGGGCUCCGAGCUGCGCUGAGAAGCGGCGGGUCUUCCCACCUCGGCCCUCGGCCCACGAGAGGCUGUCAUCACCCCUGGAGCAGCGCGUCCCUGUUGCCCGCAUCCUCCCCAGCAUUUGGCGGCGUCUCUGCUCUGGACUGCAGCCCUUCUAGAAGAUCAUCAUCUGAGGAGAGUGAGCAGGAGAAAUUCAGGCUCAGUCAAGAAAUAAAUAAACAACACAAAGAAUGACAAAAGUAGACACAACUUUAACAAAGAGAAAUUUAAAGUAAAUACCACACACUGAUACUGAUUUACACGGUACCAAAAAUUGGAAAACAGAGACUAAACAGACUAUUAUCCAGAAAAACACCUUAACCAAAAUUGUCUCAGGAAAAUCUGUUUUAUGGAGCAAACCGUAAUUUGAAAAGAUACAUGUAUCCCAUUGUUCACUGCAGCACUAUUCCCAAAAGCCAAGACAUGGGAGGAACCUAAGUAUUCAUUAGCAAAGGACUGGAGAAGGAAGAUGUGGAGAAGAGGCCACCACUCAGCCACAGAAAAGCAUGAAGAAGUGCCACUGGCAGCAGCGUGGAUGGCUCUGGAGGUUAUCAUGCCAACCAAAGUAGUCAGAGAAAGACAAAUAUCAUAUAGUAUCACUUACACGUAGAAUCUAAAAAAAGAUACAAAUGAAAUUGUUUACAAAACAGAAGUGAACUCACAGACAUGGAGAGUAAACUUACGGUUACCAAUGGGAAAAGAGAGAGAAGGAAUAAAUUGAGAAUUUGGGAUUCACACACACACACACACACACUACUGUACAUAAAAUAGAUAAACACGCUCCUACUGUAUAGCCCAGGGAACUAUACUCAGUAUCGUGUAUGAACCUAUAAUAGAAAAGACCCUGAAUCUCUUUGCUGUGCUUCUGAAAGUAACACAACAUUGUAAAUCAACUACACUGCAAUUAAAAAAGAAAAUUUUUCUUUUAAAAAACUUAAACCAAUAACAUUUAAAGGAAACACGUUUAUUCUGUCCUUCAAAUGACAAGAGUUGACUUUUUUUAACACACAACUUCUAACAAAUCAUCAUGACAAACUAUUCCAAGAACAUAGCAAAAUAAAAUUAUGCAACUUAUUUUAUGAGGCAAAUAUAGAUUUCCUCAUAAAACACUAAAUCUACACAAGGAAAAUAAAAAUCUAGAACAAUUUUACCCUUGAACAUAUUUUUUAAGAAAUCCCACCAAAAAAUAGUGACUACAGCAGUAUUUAAAGAAAAUAGAGCAUGAACAGGUGGGAUUUAUCACAGGAAUGCAAUAUUGUCUAUUACUGCAAUUGCUCAUAUUAAUAAGGUAAAUGAAAGAAACAGCAUUAUAUAUGGCACCACAAAUGCAGAAAAAGCAGUCAAAAUCCUUAUGGGAUUAAGAUUGCAGAACAGAAGACUGGAGCUCAGCUUCUCUCAUAAAAACAACAAAAUUACAACCAAAUGCUGAACAACCUUCAACCAGAUAGACUGGAGACUUUCAAAACAGAUAUCCUACUCUAGAAGACAAAGAGGAGGUCACGUCAAGGUGGCAGGAGGGGUGGUUACGUGAUAUAAGCAACCCCAUCCAUACCCGCCGGGUGGGCAGCCCACAGACUGGAGAGUAACUAUGACAGAGACUCACCUACAGGAGUGAGAGUUCUGAGCCCCACAUCAGGCCCCAAUGCCUGGGGACCUGGCACUGGGAGAAAGAGCCCACCAGAGCGUCUGGCAUCGAUGGCCAGUGGGGCUUGUGCGCAGGAGAUCCAGGGGACUGAGGGAAGCGGAGACCCCAUUUUUGAAAGGAGCACACAGACCUUCAUGUACACUGGGUCCCAGGGCAAAGCAGAGACUCCCUAGGAAUCUGGGUUGGACCUGACUGCAGUUCUUGGAGAAUCUCCUGGGAAAACAGGGGUGAAUGUGGCUCAUUGUGGGGGAAGGACAUUGGAAGCAAAUCUCUUGGGAAUCUUUAGCACCAUGCCUUUCUCUGGAGGUGGCCUGUUUUUUGGGAAAAUCUGGUCCCACCCAUUGGUGCUGAGAAGCCCCAGGCCAAACAACAAUCCAGGUGGGAUCACAGCCCUACCCAUCAGUAAACAGGCUGCCUAAAGACCCCCCAGGCACACAGCCAACCUUUAUUCUCACCCAGAGACAAAGCCCCACCCACCAGAGGGAUAGGAAUCAGCCCCACCUACCAAUGGGUAGGCACCAGUCCCUCCCAUCUGGAAGCCUACAGCAAGCCCCCAUACCAACUUCAGCCACAAGGGGGGCAGACACCAGAAGAAAGAGAGAGUACAACUCUAUAGUCUGCAAAAAGGAGAACACACCAAAAACCUAUAAAAAUGAAAAGGCCAAGAGCUAUAACUCAGGUAAGGGAGAAAGAAAACCCAGAAAAACAGCUAGGUGAUCUGGAGAUUAUCAGCCUCAAGGAAAAAGACUUUAGACUGAUGAUGCUGAAGAUGAUGUAAGACACUGGAAAUAAACUGGAGGCAAAGAUGGGUAACUUACAGGAAACACUGAGCAAAGAGAUAGAAGAUACAAAACUUAAGUAAGGAGAGAUGCAAAAUACAGUAACUGAAAUAAAAAAUUCAUUAGAAGCAGCCAACAGCAGAAUAUAGGAGGCAGAAUGAAUAAGUGAGGUGGAGGACAGACUAGUGGAAAUCACGGAUGCAG
ensembl:lncRNA